rnacentral:rRNA from 1 species
UGAUAUUAAGCCAUGCGAGUCAUUGUAGCAAUACAAGGCAUACGGCUCAGUAACGCGUAGUCAACCUAACCUAUGGACGGGAAUAACCUCGGGAAACUGAGAAUAAUGCCCGAUAGAACAUUAUGCCUGGAAUGGUUUAUGUUCCAAAUGAUUUAUCGCCGUAGGAUGGGACUGCGGCCUAUCAGUUUGUUGGUGAGGUAAUGGCCCACCAAGACUAUUACAGGUACGGGCUCUGAGAGGAGUAGCCCGGAGAUGGGUACUGAGACACGGACCCAGGCCCUAUGGGGCGCAGCAGGCGAGAAAACUUUGCAAUGUGCGAAAGCACGACAAGGUUAAUCCGAGUGGUUUCUGCUAAAGGAACCUUUUGUCAGUCCUAGAAACACUGAUGAAUAAGGGGUGGGCAAGUUCUGGUGCCAGCCGCCGCGGUAAAACCAGCACCUCAAGUGGUCAGGAUGAUUAUUGGGCCUAAAGCAUCCGUAGCCGGCUCUGUAAGUUUUCGGUUAAAUCUGUACGCUCAACGUACAGGCUGCCGGGAAUACUGCAAAGCUAGGGAGUGGGAGAGGUAGACGGUACUCGGUAGGAAGGGGUAAAAUCCUUUGAUCUAUUGAUGACCACCUGUGGCGAAGGCGGUCUACCAGAACACGUCCGACGGUGAGGGAUGAAAGCUGGGGGAGCAAACCGGAUUAGAUACCCGGGUAGUCCCAGCUGUAAACCAUGCAAACUCAGUGAUGCAUUGGCUUGUGGCCAAUGCAGUGCUGCAGGGAAGCCGUUAAGUUUGCCGCCUGGGAAGUACGUACGCAAGUAUGAAACUUAAAGGAAUUGGCGGGGGAGCACCACAAGGGGUGAAGCCUGCG